AGCUGCAAAAUCAUCUGGGGGAUGGCUUGGCUCAGGCACCGAGGAAGGUCGUGCCAAGCUGCGAUAUGCUCCGGGUAGGCGCAAGGAGCCUUUGAUCCGGAGAUCACCUAAUGGGACUUCCUAUCACGGUAAACCCGUGAUGAUCCCGCAUGGGAUCGGGAACGCGGGGAACUGAAGCAUCUUAGUACCCGCAGGAAAAGAAAGCAAUAGCGAUGCCGUUAGUAAAGGCGAUCGAAAGCGGCACAGGGCAAACCGAAUCUUUUUGCGAGAGCAAGAAGAGAUGUGGUGUUCGGACCCUGUUACUUCCUAACCGGCGAACUCGAAGUCGCCUGGAAUGGCGCACCGUAGAGGGUGAUAGUCCUGUAGAGGUAAGCUGGAAGGAAGAGUGCAGGUGUUCCAGAGUAGCGCGCGUUGGAUAUCGCACGUGAAUGCGGGAGGCAUAAACUCCCAACCCUAAAUAUGUCCUGAGACCGAUAGCGCACUAGUAGCGUGAGCAAAAGCUGAAAAGUACCUCAAAGAGAGAGGUGAAAAGAGCCUGAAACCAGAUGAUUACAGACGUACAGGGCGUGGAAGCAUUGCACCUCUGCUUGCAGAGGGAAGGCAGCGUCCUGUUAUACGUUUCGAAAAAUGGGCCAGGGAGUUUCUGUCAAUGGCGAGGUUAAUCCCGUAGGGGAGAAGCCGAAGCGAAAGCGAGUGCCCGCAGGCAACGAGGGGCGAGGUGCGUUCGCCUUUAGUCAUUGGCGGAAGACCCGAAGCCGGUCGAUCUAUGCGUGGCUAGGUUGAAGCCCAGCGAAAGCUGGGUGGAGGACCGAACCGAUACUGACGUGCAAAUCGUUCGGAUGAGCUGCGUAUAGGGGUGAAAGGCCAAUCUAGACCGGUGAUAGCUGGUUCCCCUCGAAACUACUCGCAGGUAGACCUCUGGCGAGGUAGGUGGUGCGGUAGAGCACUGAUUG
rnacentral:rRNA from 1 species